rnacentral:piRNA from 1 species
UGCCAUUUAUGAACCUAAUUGUCUUGGACA